rnacentral:rRNA from 1 species
UGGGGAAUCUUCCGCAAUGGACGAAAGUCUGACGGAGCAACGCCGCGUGAGUGAUGACGGCCUUCGGGUUGUAAAGCUCUGUUAAUCGGGACGAAUGGUUCUUGUGCAAAUAGUGCGAGGAUUUGACGGUACCGGAAUAGAAAGCCACGGCUAACUACGUGCAAGCAGCCGCGGUAAUACGUAGGUGGCAAGCGUUGUCCGGAAUUAUUGGGCGUAAAGCGCGCGCAGGCGGAUUGGUCAGUCUGUCUUAAAAGUUCGGGGCUUAACCCCGUGAUGGGAUGGAAACUGCCAAUCUAGAGUAUCGGAGAGGAAAGUGGAAUUCCUAGUGUAGCGGUGAAAUGCGUAGAUAUUAGGAAGAACACCAGUGGCGAAGGCGACUUUCUGGACGAAAACUGACGCUGAGGCGCGAAAGCCAGGGGAGCGAACGGG